rnacentral:lncRNA from 13 species
UUGCCUGUACCGGUGACCGGCGAACGCUCCGUGUUGCUCCGUGCUUCCCGGCGCUUCUUUCGUGUUCCUCGUGUCGAAAUUCUGCGCGGAUACAACGUCGGGUGUGUCGAGUGUGGUAGCAGCGUGAGUAUCAGGAUCGUAUAGAUCGUAUCUCGUUCGUUAAGCGUUACGAACUUGUCGCUUGCGUCUCGUGCUCGUCUAACGUUUCUCGACUCAGCUGUUUGCUUUCGGUCUCAAAUCGUAUGUUUAUCAGUGUGCGAGAACACGAACAUAAUAAUCGUCAGGUAACGCGCGUGUUGCGUGUUAACAACGACCGCGUGUUAACUACGACGGUCGAGCGGUUAUGUUACGCCGCGCGCGAUUUCUUGGCGCUCGAGAUUCGUCGUUUAUCGGGACAGUAUCUUUUCCGAUGGCGUCGCGGGUGUGGUAUAGUAAGUGGUGAACAAUAUAUUGUGCGGUCAUCGUUAAUAUGCGAUUCGAGAGCGAUAAAAAGAAACAUCGUCAGCGAAGGACAGCCUCCGUGAAGCAAUUCGGUCGAUGUUGAAAACUCUGCUGCUGCACAUCCUGUGUCGGUUACGAACGACGCCGACCGCGACGCGACGAUGAGAGACUCGUGAGCUUCGGGAGUCGCUUCCGGCUUUCAUCCGUUUUAGCCAUGCUAAUGGAGACAGUACAGACGCGUGGCUUAGCAUGUAGAAUUUCAGUGAUUCUAGGAAGCUGGCUGGAGAGUUAUUUCGAUCUAGCGACGUAUACCACACUGGGUCAGCGUACCAAGAUAAUUUCCUGAACGCACAGGCCGCGUAACUACUACAGAAUCCUGAAUUUAGCAGACAUCCGCUUACCGCACGCGGAAGCUGCUGAAAGAAUAGUGUGACUCCAGGACAUCGCAGGAAACAAUCGUGGAUGCGAGAUGAUGGGGCCAGUUGGCGGCUCUCCUUUGCUCAGGCGCACCCGGCACUCGCAAGAAAUCGAUAUCGCGUCUGCGCUCGGUACAACUCCAAGGGCCGU